GAUGAACGCUGGCGGCGUGCCUAAUACAUGCAAGUCGAGCGAACGGACGAGAAGCUUGCUUCUCUGAUGUUAGCGGCGGACGGGUGAGUAACACGUGGAUAACCUACCUAUAAGACCGGGAUAACUUCGGGAAACCGGAGCUAAUACCGGAUGAUAUUUUGAACCGCAUGGUUCAAAAGUGAAAGACGGUCUUGCUGUCACUUAUAGAUGGAUCCGCGCUGCAUUAGCUAGUUGGUAAGGUAACGGCUUACCAAGGCAACGAUGCAUAGCCGACCUGAGAGGGUGAUCAGCCACCCUGGAACUGAGACACGGUCCAGACUCCUACGGGAGGCAGCAGUAGGGAAUCUUCCGCAAUGGGCGAAAGCCUGACGGAGCAACGCCGCGUGAGUGAUGAAGGUCUUCGGAUCGUAAAACUCUGUUAUUAGGGAAGAACAUAUGUGUAAGUAACUGUGCACAUCUUGACGGUACCUAAUCAGAAAGCCACGGCUAACUACGUG
rnacentral:rRNA from 1 species